CAUUGAAGCAUUGGUUCUCAUACGAUUACCAAAUUUAAGCAAUACCGAGCCUGGUUAGUACCUAGAUGAGUGACCGUUUGUGAAUACCAGGUACUGUAAG